rnacentral:rRNA from 1 species
AGAGUUUGAUCAUGGCUCAGAGUGAACGCUGGCGGCGUGCUUAACACAUGCAAGUCGAGCGAGAUUUGACAGCGUAUCGUCAGAUCUAGCGGCAGACGGGUGAGUAAUACUUGGGCAAUCUACCUUCGAGAGGGGGACAACCUGCCGAAAGGCGGGCUGAUACCCCAUAAGACCACAGGGUCGCAUGAUCUAGGGGUCAAAGCUCCGCAAGGGGCACUUGAAGAGGAGCCCGAGUCCUAUCAUGGUAGUUGGCGGGGUAAUGGCCCACCAAGCCGUUGACGGGUAGCCGGCCUGAAAGGGCAAACGGCCACACUGGCACUGAGACACGGGCCAGACUCCUACGGGAGGCAGCAGUGGGGAAUUUUUGGACAAUGGGGGGCAACCCUGAUCCAGCGACGCCGCGUGAAGGAUGAAGGUCUUCGGAUUGUAAACUUCUUUUGGAGGGGAUGAAUGGCUUGGUGAAUAGCCAAGUGUGACAGUACUCUCUGAAUAAGCCACGGCUAACUACGUGCCAGCAGCCGCGGUAAUACGUAGGUGGCAAGCGUUACUCGGAAUCACUAGGCGUAAAGCGCAGGUAGGCGGUUUGGUAAGUCUGUUGUGAAAGCUCCCGGCUCAACUGGGAGAGGCCAACGGAAACUACCAGGCUAGAGUGUGGUAGAGGUAGCUGGAAUUCCCGGUGUAGCGGUGAAAUGCGUAGAUAUCGGGAGGAAUACCUAUGGCGAAAGCAGGCUACUGGACCAUCCUGACGUUGAUCUGCGAAAGCUAGGGGAGCAAACAGGAUUAGAUACCCUAGUAGUCC